UCUCCCUUAUCUCCUACCUCUGUCAUGGUCUCACCCAUCCCGGCUUGUCUCCUGCAAGCUGAUCCGCACCCGUCGGGGCCCUGAGGCUACCUCCCGGUGCUGCCUCUUCCAACUGCGCCGGGCCACCCUGAAAAGCUUCGCUCCGCCAUUGCCUCACUGGAUAUACGCAGGGAGCCCGCCAUGCCUCUCCGUCUUCGUCCGCCGCGCCGAGACCGCCUCCUGCUGCCGGGAGCCUGCUCUGGAGCCGCCGCCACUGAAGGCCGGCCGACGGCGAGCAAGGCCGGCCAACGCGCGCGGGUCCCUUCAUUGGCUCCAGCAAGCUCGUCGGCGGCGGGGACCAUAAGAUCCCUGUGCCAGCAGCCUCGGAUCUGGCCCGAUUCGUACGUCCACGACCUCCGCGACCUGCGCAUGCCCCUUGGUCCGGCCUAGAUCCCGCGCCGCUUCGUCUGUUCGUGUUGACCCCGAGGAGUCGUAUCUUCGGCAGACCACCACCAGUGGCUUCAUCCCUGUAUCUUCAGAUGGGCUCUCUUCUCUUUGAUUUGUUCUUGUCCCUCAUUUCCUUCUUGAUUUGUUUCCUUCUUGAUUUUGGAGACCGUUUGUUGAUUUUCUAGGGCGUACGUAUAUGAACUGGUAAGAUCAGAUGUAAAGUAGCGAGGUGGGAUUAUUUGAUGGAAGAAAGAUUCUCAACUCAGAGCUAGGUCUUUUUUUUUUUGAGAAAAAGAGAUGCAGGCCGGCAAUGUACAAAA